rnacentral:lncRNA from 1 species
GUAAUGAGUAAAGCUGCUGGGUUGUAUGCACACUUUUGUGUGAAUUGAAAUUUCCCUUCCUCUUGGGUGACUCUUUGGGGUGGGAUUGCCGGGCCACAUGGUAAAUAUACAUUUAACUUCGUAAGCAGCUCUCAAACUCUUCUCCAAAGGAGCUGCACCAUUUUGCAUUCCCUUUGGGCAGAGAAUUCCAGGUACUCAGCAUCCUUGCCAACACUGAUAUAGUCAGCGUUUGUCCUCCCUCCCCUCCUCCCGCUCCCUCUCCCGCUUUCAUUCUUUCUUUCACUGGCAUUAUAACAGGUGUGUGGGGGGGAAACUUUUUACCGAGAUGCAAUAGCAUCAGAGCAAUGCACGAAUCCCAUGUCAAGCUUGAUGAGCUUUUAUAAAGUGAAUGCAUCCUUGUAACCACCCUCCCAAUCAGAAACCAGAGCGUACCCAGUGUCCCAGAAAUGGCCCUGUGCCCUCUCCCUGUGCUGGGGACUGGACAUUGUGGCUCCCCCUUCUGAGUUCAUAUGUUGAAAUCCUAACCCCUGUGAUGAUAUUGGGGCGGGGGGGAGCUUAGGGACGUGCUCAGGUCAUGAGAGUGGAGCCCCUGUGAAUGGGAGCCGUGCCUUUCUAAGAGGAGACGCUAGGGGGCUUGCUCCCUCUCUCUCCUCCAUUCCAAAGGCAGCUUUAUUCUGACUUCUGUCAUCAUCACCCUUCUUUAAAUAAGAUGGUUCCCUGUCUACUCCUUUGGGUGGCUUCUCGUGCUCAGCAUUAUGUUUGAGAGGUUCAUGCAUAUUGUUGCGUGUAGUUAGUGUUUGUUUAUCUUCUCGCUACGGAACAUUCCACUGUGUGAAUAUGCCACAACUACUGAACGGUUCUCUUGUUGAUAGUCCUGUGGGUUAUUCCCAGGUUUUGUCUUUUAUGAAUACUGCUUCUGUGAAUGUUCUUAUUGCUGUUUGUGGGGGGGGGCACUUAAGACCACCAACCAGUUCACUCGUUCCCAAGAAGGACUCACAGAGCUCAGAAGGAAAGCUGUUUUAUUCAGUUCUGGUUUAUUAUAGUGAAAGAAUACAGACUAAAAUCAUCGAUGGGAAAAGAUUCCUAAUGAAGAGCCAAGUCCAGGAUCGUUCUGUCGCUCUUUCCCAGUGACAGACAGCACUCAGCUCUCCCAGGUGUGCUGUGGGGCAGAAGACAUGGAUUAGUGCUAACCAGGGCAGCUCACCCCAGCCAUGGUGCCCAGGGGCUUCACUGGGGUUAGGUCAUGUAGAUACGGUGAUGACUCAUGUGGCUGUCCUGAGUUUCCAGCUCCUCCAGAGGUCAAGCUGAUACCCUGUGGCCUGUGGCCCGUGCCCGGGCCGUAAAUUACCUUGUUAGCUUAGAUGAUCUGGCAGGUCCCACAGCUCCCAGGUAAACAAGGAAAGCCUUAUUGGUCAAGGCCUUCCAAGCCUUAGAGGUUACCUCCCAGGAGCUGCUCAAGGACCAAACCUUUCUUGGGCAAGGUUAAUCCUUAUUGCACACUUACUCGGAUGUGUCUUUUGGUGAAUCUUUGAACCAUUGCCAGUGGACACAUACCGAGGAAUAAAGUUGCUGUAUCAUCACUUACACGUAUGUUCAGCUUUAGUGGUUAUUCUCAGCAGUUUUCCAAAGGGACCGAAUCAAUUUACAUUCUCACCAGUGUGUAAGACCUGGCUUUGCACCAUGUCUUCUCCAACACUGGCUGUUGUCAGAUGCUUCGUUUUAUUAAUUGGAGCCGUCCUGGUGGGUGGUAGUAACAUCUCAUUGUGCUUUCAGUCUGCCUAUCUCUGCUGAGUAAUUGUGAUGAGCUCAGCAGAGAUAGGCAGACUGUUUGUGUGCUCAGCAGUCAUUUUGCUCUCCUCUGCACUUAUCAACCUCCUGUAUUGCAAUUCACUUUGAUCAGUUGAAUUCAAUUCAAUUCAACCAUCCUAUAAAUCUCCUACUGUCGACCAGACCGGUGCUCAGGCAGUGAGAAAUGUUGACAGUGAAUGAAGCAUAUUUCACACCCUCCAGGUACACAUGUUCACACACAGAAGAAGCAUCUCCUUAUGAAUUGAUGUGGAAAGACCCCCAAAAUAUUCAAAGUGGAAAAAGGUACAGAAGAAAUGUGUAUGGUAUAUGCUGCCAUUUGCAUGGAACGUCUGUGGCAGAAAUGAGUGUGCAUGUACACACACACACACAGUCUUGAAUCAUGCAUCAACCUUUUUCAGGAGGAUAAACAGAAACUAGAAUAGCCACCUAUAAAGGAAGAAACCUAGGGGAAUGGAGAAUGAUGGGGGGGCACUUUUCACUGUACAGUUAAUUCCUUGCACCAUCUGAGAGUUCAACCAAUCAUGAAUUGAAAAUAUUCAGAAAAAAAAAUCCGUACAGUCCAAAAAGCAAAACAUGCAUUUGCCACGCGCUGGCAGCCACGUCCAUAGCAUUUACAUGGUUUUUAGGAAUUAUAAGUGAUCUAGAGAUGGUGUGAAGUGUGCAGGAAGGUGUGGGUAGGUUAUAUGCAAAUACCAUGCCAUUCUGUAUAAGGGACUUCAGCAGCCCAGUUUGGUGGCUGUGGGGCAGGGCCGUGUAGGGGCGGUUGUGCUGGACACACUCCCUUGUCGAUUGUGUGAGACAACUGCACACCGUUUUAUACUCUGAUGUGGAGUUUCCAUCGUGGCUCAGUGGUUAACGAAUCUGACUAGGAACCACGAGGUUGCAGGUUCGAUCCCUGGCCUUGCUCAGUGGGUUGAGGAUCUGGCAUUGCUGUGAGCUGUGGUGUAGACUGGCGGCUACAGCUCCGAUUCGACCCCUAGCCUGGGAACCUCCAUAUGACACGGGUGCGGCCCUAAAAAGACAAAAAAAAAAAAAAAA